rnacentral:misc_RNA from 1 species
AAGUCGUAACAAGGUUUCCGUAGGUGAACCUGCGGAAGGAUCAUUAACACGUUAUCCACGUAUCAACCAAUGUGCACCUGUUUUCAACCUCUCAUCAACUGGGAAAUGAAUUGAGUCGGUACUCGAGUUUUGGAAGCGACUGCCUCGGCGUCACACUCGGCUGACUACUUACACCGGCACGGCCAUUGUUGCGUUUGGUGUAGACAAUUGUAUUCUUGGAAGAUCUUAGCGUACUCGUCUGGCGAGUUUCCAUCGUAUUUUCGAGUGCGCAUAUAUUUUACCCAUUUCACAACUUUUUUGCUAGUUGACUUUUAAAUGUUCAUGAGUGUCUCGGCACUCGUGCACACGUUUAAUUAUUUGAACGUUAAAAAUACAACUCUUAGCAAUGGAUAUCUAGGUUCUC